rnacentral:rRNA from 1 species
UACGGAGGGGGCUAGCGUUGUUCGGAAUUACUGGGCGUAAAGCGCGCGUAGGCGGACCUGCAAGUCGGGGGUGAAAGCCCGAGGCUCAACCUCGGAACUGCCUUCGAUACUGCGGGUCUCGAGUCCGGGAGAGGGAUGCAGAAUUCCAGGUGUAGCGGUGAAAUGCGUAGAUAUCUGGAGGGAUACCGGUGGCGAAGGCGGCAUCCUGGACCGAGAUUGACGCUGAUGAGCGAAAGCUAGGGGAGCAAACGGG